rnacentral:rRNA from 1 species
GCUUGUCUCAAAGAUUAAGCCAUGCAUGUCUCAGUACAAGCCAAAUUAAGGUGAAACCGCGAAAGGCUCAUUAAAUCAGUUAUGGUUCCUUAGAUCGUACCCACAAUUACUUGGAUAACUGUGGUAAUUCUAGAGCUAAUACAUGCAAACAGAGCUCCGACCGGAGACGGAAGGAGUGCUUUUAUUAGAUCAAAACCAAUCGGUGGCGAGCUCGACAUCGUACAACUUGGUGACUCUGAAUAACUUUACGCUGAUCGCACGGUCAUCGCACCGGCGACGCAUCUUUCAAAUGUCUGCCUUAUCAACUGUCGAUGGUAGGUUCUGCGCCUACCAUGGUUGUAACGGGUAACGGGGAAUCAGGGUUCGAUUCCGGAGAGGGAGCCUGAGAAACGGCUACCACAUCCAAGGAAGGCAGCAGGCGCGCAAAUUACCCACUCCCGGCACGGGGAGGUAGUGACGAAAAAUAACGAUACGGGACUCAUCCGAGGCCCCGUAAUCGGAAUGAGUACACUCUAAACCCUUUAACGAGGAUCAAUUGGAGGGCAAGUCUGGUGCCAGCAGCCGCGGUA